UUGGCAAGUCGAGCGAAAGGAUUAAGAGCCUGCUCCUUUGAAGUUAGCGGCGGGCGGGUGAGUAACACGUGGGUAACCUGCCCAUAAGACUGGGAUAACUUCGGGAAACCGGGGCUAAUACCGGAUAAUAUUUUGAACCGCAUGGUUCGAAAUUGAAAGGCGGCUUCGGCUGUCCCUAUUGGAUGGACCCGCCCCGCAUUACCUAGUUGGNGAGGUAACGGCUCACCAGGGCAACGAUGCUUACCCAACCUGAAAGGGGGUUCGGCCCCCCUGGAAUUGAAACCCGGCCCAAAUUCUUACGGGGGGCAGCAGUAGGGAAUCUUCCGCAAGGGGCGAAAGUCUGACGAACAACCCCCCCUGAUUGAGGAAGUCUUUCGAUCGUAAAAUUCUGUAGUUAGGGAGACCAAGGCUAUUGACUGUGUGGUCCCUGAGGGGUACCUACCAAAAGCCAGGGUAAUACGGCCAGCGCGGGUAUCGUGUGGGCCGUUUACCAAUUUUGCGCUAGGCGCGCGCGCGUGUUUUUUAUGUGUGUGAAAGCCGCGCUCCCCGGGGGGAAGAGAAAUGGUGAAAUUCCAUGUGUAGCGGUGAAAUGCGUAGAGAUAUGGAGGAACACCAGUGGCGAAGGCGACUUUCUGGUCUGUAACUGACACUGAGGCGCGAAAGCGUGGGGAGCAAACAGGAUUAGAUACCCUGGUAGUCCACGCCGUAAACGAUGAGUGCUAAGUGUUAGAGGGUUUCCGCCCUUUAGUGCUGAAGUUAACGCAUUAAGCACUCCGCCUGGGGAGUACGGCCGCAAGGCUGAAACUCAAAAGGAUUGACAGGGGCCCGCACAAGCGGUGGAGCAUGUGGUUUAAUUCGAAGCAACGCGAAGAACCUUACCAGGUCUUGACAUCCUCCAACCCUAGAGAUAGGGCUUCUCCUUCGGGAGCAGAGUGACAGGUGGUGCAUGGUUGUCGUCAGCUCGUGUCGUGAGAUGUUGGGUUAAGUCCCGCAACGAGCGCAACCCUUGAUCUUAGUUCCCAUCAUUAAGUUGGGCACUCUAAGGUGACUGCCGGUGACAAACCGGAGGAAGGUGGGGAUGAGGUCAAAUCAUCAUCCCCCUUAUGACCUGGGCUACACACGUGCUACAAUGGACGGUCCAAAGAGCUCCAAGACCGCGAGGUGGAGCUAAUCUCAUAAAACCGUUCUCAGUUCGGAUUGUAGGCUGCAACUCGCCUCCAUGAAGCUGGAAUCGCUAGUAAUCGCGGAUCAGCAUGCCGCGGUGAAUACGUUCCCGGCCCUUGUACACACCGCCCGUCACACCACGAGAGUUUGUAACACCCGAAGUCGGUGGGGUAACCUUUUUGGAGCCAGCCGCCUA
rnacentral:rRNA from 1 species